rnacentral:rRNA from 1 species
AACUAGGAUUAGAUACCCUAUUAUAUUAAAGUUAAAUCUGUAAAUACUGAAUUAUUAAUAGAUAUUUCUUGAAAUUUAAAGAAUUUGGCGGUAAUUUAGUCUUGUCAGAGGAACCUGUUUUUUAAUCGAUACACCACGUUAUAUCUUACUUAUUUUAAAUAGUUUGUAUACCAUCAUUAGUAGAUAAUUUUAAAAGGAAAAAUUAUUGAAAUUAAAUACGUUAAAAAAAUUAGAUCAAGGUGCAGCUAAUAAAUAAGUUAAAAUGGGUUACAAUAAAAUUUAUUUAUAUGGAAUAAUUUAAAAAAUUGAAUUAUAAAGGUGGAUUUGAUUGUAAUAUAAGUUUAAUAAGCUUAUAAGAUACAAGCUCUAAAUUAUGUACACAUCGCCCGUCACUCUCAAAAA